UCCGGAUUUNUUGGGCGUAAAGCGAGCGCAGGCGGUUUGAUAAGUNUGAAGUUAAAGGCUGUGGCUCAACCAUAGUUCGCUUUGGAAACUGUCAAACUUGAGUGCAGAAGGGGGGAGUGGAAUUCCAUGUGUAGCGGUGAAAUGCGUAGAUAUAUGGAGGAACACCGGUGGCGAAAGCGGCUCUCUGNUCUGUAACUGACGCUGAGGCUNGAAAGCGUGGGGAGCGAACAGGAUUAGAUACCCUGGUAGUNCACGCCGUAAACGAUGAGUGCUAGGUGUUGGGUCCUUUCCGGGAUUCAGUGCCGCAGCUAACGCAUUAAGCACUCCGCCUGGGGAGUACGACCGCAAGGUUGAAACUCAAAGGAAUUGACGGGGGCCCGCACAAGCGGUGGAGCAUGUGGUUUAAUUCGAGGCAACGCGAAGAACCUUACCAGGUCUUGACAUCCCGAUGCUAUUUCUAGAGAUAGGAAGUUACUUCGGUACAUCGGUGACAGGUGGUGCAUGGUUGUCGUCAGCUCGUGUCGUGAGAUGUUGGGUUAAGUCCCGCAACGAGCGCAACCCCUAUUGUUAGUUGCCAUCAUUCAGUUGGGCACUCUAGCGAGACUGCCGGUAAUAAACCGGAGGAAGGUGGGGAUGACGUCAAAUCAUCAUGCCCCUUAUGACCUGGGCUACACACGUGCUACAAUGGUUGGUACAACGAGUCGCAAGCCGGUGACGGCAAGCUAAUCUCUGAAAGCCAAUCUCAGUUCGGAUUGUAGGCUGCAACUCGCCUACAUGAAGUCGGAAUCGCUAGUAAUCGCGGAUCAGCACGCCGCGGUGAAUACGUUCCCGGGCCUUGUACACACCGCCCGUCACACCACGAGAGUUUGUANCACCCAAAGUCGGUGAGGUAACCAUUUAUGGGNCCA
rnacentral:rRNA from 1 species